rnacentral:tRNA from 2 species
GCACCCGUAGCUCAGCUGGAUAGAGCGCUGCCCUCCGAAGGCAGGUGUCAAGCUAGUUUGUGCG